UUUAUAGUAAUACUAAUAUUGCUUGUAUUGAUAUUAGAUUAUUUAUUGCUAUAUUUUCACAUAUUUAGAUUGAAUUUAGGAAUCUAGAACGGGAUCAGGGGGCUCCAGCAAAGGCUUAUGCAGGUUGGGGAGCGAAAAUGCACCUGAUCCUAUUGAAGAACAAAGAGCACAUGAUCUCUUUAAUGCCCUCUGGAUUCACGACCUCUUUAUGGAAAGAGUCCAAAUAAUGGAGAGUGGUCAUUGUUUUGCCCUAAUGAAGCUCAAGGAUUGGCUGAUUGCUGGGGCAAGGAGUUUAAUAAGUUGUACACAAAAUAUGAGAGAGAGGAUGUUCCUAUUGAGUCACAUCCAUCAAAGUUGGUUGGAAGCAUAGGAUCAAAGAACAGAUACUUUGAUUUCUAUAAACUGGCUGAGGUUUGCUCUUCUGACAGUAUUAGGUGCUAAGAAUGAUUCCCACUAAAACUGUUGUGUGCAACUUGGCUUCAAUUGCUUUACCACGAUUUGUUAGAGAUAAGGAUGUUCCUAUUGAGUCACAUCCAUCAAAGUUGGUUGGAAGCAUAGGAUCAAAGAACAGAUACUUUGAUUUCUAUAAACUGGCUGAGGUUUGCUCUUCUGACAGUAUUAGGUGCUAAGAAUGAUUCUGCACCCUCUAUGCGGAACUUGAAGCCUAUUGCCAACUCUGGUAAGGGAACAUGCACAGUAGACAUUUGUAACUCUGAGAUUCUUUCUGUUCUGGAACCAAGAUUGGAGCAAGAGAAUUUGAUAACAUCAGGAAAAAGGAAUCUCGAAAAAUUUUAAUUAAAACAUUUGUCUGAUGUAAGUUUUCCUUCCAUAGAUAUGCUAUAUAGAUUUGCUAUUGCUCACAUAUCAGUGUAAGAUUCUUGCUGAUCCUCAUUUUGAUUUUUCAUCAUCAUUUAUGAUGCAAAUUAAUUCUUGGACAAACCUUAAAAGAAAACAAUACAAGUGUCAUUGGUUAGGUUAUUACUUUUAGGAUAAGCAUUAACCUUGCAUGGUAAUUGUUUGAAUUCUAAGCAACUUUUCAUUAGUUUAAUUAGGAAGAUAUGGU